rnacentral:rRNA from 1 species
UACGGAGGGUGCAAGCGUUAUCCGGAUUCACUGGGUUUAAAGGGUGCGUAGGCGGGUAGGUAAGUCAGUGGUGAAAUCCUGGAGCUCAACUCCAGAACUGCCAUUGAUACUAUCUAUCUUGAAUAUUGUGGAGGUAAGCGGAAUAUGUCAUGUAGCGGUGAAAUGCUUAGAUAUGACAUAGAACACCCAUUGCGAAGGCAGCUUACUACGCAUAUAUUGACGCUGAGGCACGAAAGCGUGGGGAUCAAACAGGAUUAGAUACCCUGGUAGUCCACGCCCUAAACGAUGGAUACUCGACAUACGCGAUACACUGUGUGUGUCUGAGCGAAAGCAUUAAGUAUCCCACCUGGGAAGUACGUUCGCAAGAAUG